UAUGACUAAAACUUUUAAUGGUGUUGGCUUUUUAUUUUUAUUUUACUUUUUUGAGACAGAGUCUCACUCUGUCCCUCAGGCUAGAGUAUUGUGAUGCAACUGUGGCUCACUGUGGCCCCAAGCUCCUGGGCUUGAACAAUCCUCCUGCCUCAGCCUCCCAAGUGUAGCUGGGACUACAGGCACACGCCACCAUGCCCAGCUAAUUUUUGUUUUUUUUAAUGUAGAGAUAAGAGUCUCACUAUGUUGCCCAGGUUGAUCUCAAACUCCUGGUCUCAAGAGAUCCUCCCACCUCAGCCUCCCAGAGUCAGAACCCAGAUCCUGGAACUCUUCUUUUCUUCUUCUAUACCACUGCUUCCUUGAUAAGAGAUCAAGAUAUAUACAAAUUAGUCUUUGAAAGAUCUUUCACCUUGUUCAAAGUUAAGAUCCUGUGAACACCAGAAUUGUUCCAUGGCCUCUUCACUAUUGAUUGCAACAGUAUCAUUUACCUGAAGUUACACAGUGACCACAAAAACCAUGUCCAGGACACCAAAUUUCUACUGCGAACUCUAGGUCCUCACGAGCCUUUCUCUGCGAGUCCAAAAUUCAGCCACAUUUCCUAAGAGGCACCUGUACUUGUCUAUUUCAAUGCAGCCAGAAGCUGACAACGGCCCAGGAACCAGGACUGCUUUCAGGAGGCGCUCAGAAGGGCAGCAAAGUACCCUCUCAACAUUAGUAAAAUGAAACAAAAGUGUCAGCCUUGGCUUCGCACACACUUACCCGUUCAUGAUGAUGAAACGCGAGAGCUAUCUCAAAAAGGCAAAACAUCUUUCAGUAAAAGAACUCUACAGUCCAGAUGGGGACCUUCUAAGGCUGCUGAUUAUCUUCUUAUAAUGUUGUAAGAUAGACCUACUAAAACAUUUCAAGAACUGAUCAGAUACGAUGCGUACAAUGGCUUCAUUAUUGGAAGGAGUCGCCUCAGACUUGUGACUAAACCCGGCAGAGAUUUCAAUAAGGUUAGGACUGUAAGUUUCCUGUUUUCUCAUCAGGGACUGCAGGUUCCAACUAAAACUGGAAAUCUGUGCACAACAGGAGAAUAAACUGUCGCCCAAGGAUCCUACAUAUUUGCUCUUCUCUGAUUUGAGCAAAGGAAAAAAAAAUAAACUGGAACUGUAAAAAGGACAUUAAAUUAUUAUGAAGCAUUCUACCACAAUGUGUGUGUGUGUGUGUGUGUGUGUGUGUGUGUGUGUGUGUGUGUGUGUGUGUGUGUGGGUGAGGGGGGACAGCUCCAAA
rnacentral:lncRNA from 1 species